UUUGCUUUAAAGCAAUGAUGUUCGUUAGCCCAAUUCGGGUGCAGCUUGAACUAACUUACUUUGAAGAUGUAUGUUUUUACGGUCUUUGAACUGUUAAGGCAAUAGAACUUAAGAAGCGUUCGUCGCUUCGAAUAUCCUAUUUUCGUAACGGUUUUGUAACUAGAGAAAUUUGACAGAUCGAUGAUAUUAAAGCUUCGACCACAACUGAACAGUAACUGUUGUUCUACUGACUGUUACCUGAGAAAUCUUCUAUAGGAAACGUCUUCAUAAAUCGUCUAAUAGUACUUUUCAGUCAGAACCCGGGUUAAGCCAAAAGCCACCUAGAACCACCUCUUAACGCACCUGUUACUGUGAUGCCCUCCACGGGCGCCGCAUUUUCUCGAACUUUCAUCUUUUAACUCCGAGUGAAAGAAACGGACGCGACUUUGUUACUUACUUUCGACGCUGAACGUGAAUACUUCAUACCUCUGAUGGAUACUGUUCCUGGUGGAAUCAAUUUGUUUUGCACUGAAAACAUAAUGAUGGCAUUGAUGUAAAUUAACAAGUUACAAGCUCGAAUAUAAAAUAUUCAGUAAUCGCUACCUCAUUAUAUAAUUAGAUAAAGUAUUUUAAUUGAUGCAAGAAAAACUGAUUGCAAAAACAUUUCUCUCAUAAAAAGCAUCAUACGAUACUGUAUUUUCGAGUUGGUAAAGUUGUGUAACACAUAAUGCUCCUCCUGCCGUUCAACUAUCAACUACUGACGCUGUAGCCUUGUACUUAAAUAGGAAGUAGCUUUUUGGGGAAAGCUUAGAACUAUCGUACAUGUCAAAUUAGAUUCAUAAAUUCUGUCUACUGCAUUUUAAAACAAGCGUGCUUAAAUGUAUAAUAAGCAUCCUUAAAAUGGCCAAAAGAGGUAAGGAAUUAGCCAAGGAUAGGGAUUCUCGUACGAAAAAGUUUAGCCCCGUUUCGAAAUAUGCUACCACUGUAAGAACUUCAACGGUGACAUAUCUAGAAUGAGUCUGCACACGCACUUCAGACUCACUACUAAUAAUAAUAAUAAUAUACUAAUUAACCAAGUUGUUUUAUAUCAACAAUAGCUAUUACUUAAUUUUCAUAUCAACUAAGUCUGCAGAAUCAGUUUGGGAACACUUUGCACUUCUAUAGACCCAUGGAAACUGUUUCGAGAGUAUGAAGCGGACGUUCCUAGUGUUUGUGAACGGUUCUUGGAAGUUUAUUAACAUAAAAAGAAAUAACGUACGCGCGCGCUGUUGCUGUGCUUGUGUUCAAACUAGCUGUACUAUAAAUAUUCCCGUAAUUAAUUUAGACAGCUUGAAGUACGAUGAACACAGUUAUACAAACGUUCUGUAGAAGUCAUAAACUCAAUUAGCCUUUAGAAACAAGAAUUGUGGUCGAAAUCGACCCCCACAUUAACUUCAGACGGUUGAUUGACUGGCAGUGUAAGUUUGUGAUUUCAUCAUACCUUUAUAAAGUUGCCGUUAUAAUGAUUAUAUCACUU